rnacentral:rRNA from 1 species
AACGAACGCUGGCGGCAGGCCUAACACAUGCAAGUCGAGCGGGGACUUCGGUCCUAGCGGCGGACGGGUGAGUAACGCGUGGGAACGUGCCCUUUGCUACGGAAUAGCCCUGGGAAACUGGGAGUAAUACCGUAUGUGCCCUUCGGGGGAAGGAUUUAUCGGCAAGGGAUCGGCCCGCGUUGGACUAGGUAGUUGGUGGGGUAAUGGCCUACCAAGCCGACGAUCCAUAGCUGGUUUGAGAGGAUGAUCAGCCACACUGGGACUGAGACACGGCUCAGACUCCUACGGGAGGCAGCAGUGGGGAAUCUUAGACAAUGGGCGCAAGCCUGAUCUAGCCAUGCCGCGUGAGCGAUGAAGGCCUUAGGGUUGUAAAGCUCUUUCAGUGGGGAAGAUAAUGACGGUACCCACAGAAGGAGCCCCGGCUAACUCCGUGCCAGCCGCCGCGGUAACAC